GUUGACAAACAUCGUGAAGAAGAUCUCUGACGCGUUUUCUCAUCUGCAAAGCCAGAAUGAGCUUAUUGCCGUCAGGAACAGUGCAGGGGAAUUUGACAUUGAAAGGUUUACAUUUGGGGCAACACAGUGACUCAGUGGUGAGUGCUGUCGCUUCGCAAGAAGAUCGCUGGUUCGAGUCCCAGCUGGGUGGCUCCAAGCACUGAAGUGCACUGUGUGGCCUGAGAUGAUCCAGAACAGACUGAGGAUACGGAUGCCAUUCAAAGAUGAAUAACUCCUUCCAGAGCUUUCUGUAUCCAGCAAACCCUGACUGCAGUUCUGCACUGAGAAUCCCUGAAGCCACGAUACCACUGCUGUGAAACCGCAAUAUAAGAAGAGAGAAGGAGAGUAAUGUGGGGAAAAGGCAUAAAGAAUGCAAAAUAAUCAAU